GGACUACCUUCUUCCAGCUGCAGAUUUAUUACCGAACUUUGCGCUGAAAUCACAAGGCGCAAAGGUUUUACAAUGGAUGCCAUCGGCCGUACAUCCUGGCCAAAUACAGAGAUGCAGUGGGUUUGGGUUUGCCCCAGAACGGCCAUCGAUCCACCCAGACAUUGUUAUUCAGGGGAGGACUCGCCUACACCCAGGAGAGUGCUGGGGAUUUGAAGGUUCCCAGGGACAUUUAGUCAUCGCCCUGUCCCACAGAGCUGUCAUUAGUCAAGUCACCUUGGGUCACAUUCCUAAAAUGGUGUCCCCAACUGG